UAGGGGGCGGGCUCCGGCG
rnacentral:miRNA from 2 species